AAGUCGGGCCUGCCCACUGAGUAAUAGAAGGGCCGCGGUAUUUAGACCGUGCAAAGGUAGCAUUAUCAUUAGUCUUUUAAUUGAAGGCUGGAAUGAAUGGUUUGACGAGGUAUUAGCUGUCUCUAUAUUAUAUGUUGAAUUUAUCUUUAAAGUUAAAAGACUAAAAUACUUAUAUGGGACGAGAAGACCCUAUAGAGCUUUAUAUAAUUAUGGAAUAUAUGUAUUUAAAGAUUUAUUUUGUAUAUUUGGGUUGUAUUGUGUUGGGGAGACAUCAAGAUUAUACAAACUCUUCAUUUGUGGAAACAAAAAUUUAAGGGUGGAUGAUCCAUUAAUAUUGAUUGAAAGAUAUAGUUACCUUAGGGAUAACAGCGUUUUUCUUAGAGAGUUCAUAUCGACAAGAAAGAUUGCGACCUCGAUGUUGGAUAAAGAGAAAGAUUAUAUGUACCAGUUAUAUUUAAAAGUCUGUUCGACUUUAUAUUUCUUAC
rnacentral:rRNA from 1 species